UUAGGGUUGUCUACUGAAGUGCAGACAGUUGUCUUUGCUGCAAGCCAGUUGGGUGAACGCCAGUUCUUGUUCAAAAGCCAUGUGGCAGAGUUACUGUGACUAUAAGCUGAAGCUGCUGUGUCCCGCCUCUUGGUUCAGAGUUCUCAUAAAGAAAACAAUUGUUUUUACUACAACAUGAAACAAAGGGCAAAGCAGGAAGAUGAAUUUCCCUACAAAGUACAGGCUGGGGCAUAUUCUUCUGGAUUAUGUAUCUUCAAAGACCUUCUCUGGAAGUAACAUAUAAACAAGACUUCUGCCAGAAGCUGUCUUUAGUCCACAUGCCAACUGCAUGUAGGUCCUCUAGAAUCCAAGGACUUGCUUUUGAGGACACUGGACUUUGAUCAGCUUGUAUACAAGUGCCUUACUGGAUAUAAAUUACUUCCAACUGCUGUGGAAAGUCACCCCUUCUUUGCAGUUCUCAAAGACAGCCCAGACAGUGGAGAAAAUCUUUAUGUGCUUGAAACUCCUGUUACUUAUUUCACUGGCCUCAACACAAGUAUUCUUUUCUGACACUUGAGGUCUUGAGCUGGUCCCUGUAGGAAAAAGCACUUUUAAACCAGGAGACAGAGACCUGCUUUCCUGAGAUGUCUCUCUGAUGGACACCUUGUGGAGGCAAAGGUGCCCAGAUGCUACUGGAACUGCUGACAUGACAGCUCGGAAGAUUUGGAGGUCCACUCUGAAUUUCAUUAGAUGCAGUGCAGAAAGCACUACUUCAGGGACAAAGAUAAAAAGCACAGGUGCUUCCAGGGAAUGCUUGUUAAAAGGAAGAAGUACUUCUGUCUGCAUCUGGUGAAGUCAACCCCAAAGUAUAUGAAAUACUAAAAAACACUGGCCAGAAACUGUGUCCUGAUGCUCACAGAUCUGUGCCUAUUUACCUGAAUACAGAGGAAAAAGUGUUCCCCCAGAAAAAGAAAAAUAACUCCUGAGAAAUUUCUCGGAUCAUUGGAACUGAAGUAUAUAAGAUCUGAUGCCAUACCCAUUUUUAACCCUUGACUAAGAAGAAACUGGAUCCAUGGAUAAGGU